GCUCUUUCUUCAAUCGUGGAUCUCAUUUUUCGAAGGAAUAUUUCACUUGAAGUUGGCUGCUAUUCGGAAUACAAAAAAAUGACGCUGUCAGAUCUGUCAACAAUAUUUUUUUCUGUUGGUAAACUCGGAAUUAUUAUUAUUGAUAAAAUAAAUUGGCUGUGUCCGAAUAAUAUUUGUGAUAUUAUUGACUAUCAAAACUGAGAUGCAGUAACAAAAUUACUUCACAGUAAUGCUUGCGGUAGUUUAAAAACAAAUCAGGAAACCAGCGGUCAACAAUUUAACACACUUUAAUCAGUAUAACCGUUCAAAUGGGUUUAUAUCGCCGACUUUCAGGCAAAGACCAAAUGCAUAUUUUUCAUUUUCGUGAAGCUUGCGAAUUGUUGUAGCAUCGAUCAACCAUUCGUCAACAUAUAUUUGGUAACUUAACGUAAACAACAAAUCGGAUGGUCAAAUCCUAGCAAAAUUGUGGGAAAACUUUAGUUCUAAAGUGGAUGUUUACAUCCUGGAAACGGUUGUGGAGUGAGUGUGACAA